rnacentral:ncRNA from 1 species
CUGACCGGAGCGUUCGGGUCGAUGUCGGUAUCGACAGCCCAAUCUCCCUGGAGACGCCUGAAAGGGCGCUGAAGAAGGGAGAGCGCAUAUCAGUCAG